GCUCUUUUCACAUUGUACUACUGUAUGAGCCCCUGCCAAGCAAUGCAAUGUAAAAAGGGCAU
rnacentral:pre_miRNA from 1 species